GCCCUGGUGGUGUAGUUCGGUCUAGCAUGAAGCCCUGUCACGGCUUCGACCCGGGUUCAAAAGCCAAUUACGACCAUGGCAUUAGAGGUGUCAGACAGUAAUUGCAUGGAUUUCCCGGCCAGGGCG
rnacentral:tRNA from 1 species